UACGUAGGGACCAAGCGUUGUUCGGAUUUACUGGGCGUAAAGGGCGCGUAGGCGGCUUAACAAGUCACUUGUGAAAUCUCCGGGCUUAACUCGGAACGGCCAAGUGAAACUGUCAAGUUAGAGUGCAGAAGGGGCAAUCGGAAUUCUUGGUGUAGCGGUGAAAUGCGUAGAUAUCAAGAGGAACACCUGAGGUGAAGACGGGUUGCUGGGCUGACACUGACGCUGAGGCGCGAAAGCCAGGGGAGCAAACGGG
rnacentral:rRNA from 1 species